CCUACGGGUGGCAGCAGUGAGGAAUAUUGGUCAAUGGGCUUACGCCUGAACCAGCGACGUCGCGUGAGGGAAGUCUGUCCUAUGGGUUGUAAACCUCUUUUGUCAGGGAGCAACGCCGGCUACGUGUAGCCGGACUGAGAGUACCUGCAGAAAAAGCAUCGGCUAACUCCGUGCCAGCAGCCGCGGUAAUACGGAGGAUGCGAGCGUUAUUCGGAUUUAUUGGGUUAAAAGGGUGCGUAGGCGGAAUGCCAAGUCAGCGGUAAAAUCGCGGGGCUCAACCUCGCUCCGCCGUUGAAACUGGCGUUCUGGAGUGGGCGAGAAGUAUGCGGAAUGCGUGGUGUAGCGGUGAAAUGCGUAGAUAUCACGAAGAACUCCAGUUGCGAAGGCGGCAAACCGGCGCCCAACUGACGCUGAAGAACGAAAGCGUGGGUAUCGAACAGGAUUAGAUACCCCAGUAGUC
rnacentral:rRNA from 1 species